UGAUAGCGAUGAAGCGAGAGAUUGCCGGAACAGGCAAUAGCAUGUUUCGGGUUACUCCGUGGAGCGAAUGUCUGGGGCGCCUGCAGGACCUGGUGGGCACGCCCAACAAUCUGACGACAA
rfam:Firmicutes bacterium CAG:791 genomic scaffold, scf172